GACGAACGCUGGCGGCGUGCUUAACACAUGCAAGUCGAACGGAAAGGCCCUGCUUUUGUGGGGUGCUCGAGUGGCGAACGGGUGAGUAACACGUGAGUAACCUGCCCUUGACUUGGGAUAACUUCAGGAAACUAGGGCUAAUACCGGAUAGGAGCUCCUGCUGCAUGGUGGGGGUUGGAAAGUUUCGGCGGUUGGGGAUGGACUCGCGGCUUAUCAGCUUGUUGGUGGGGUAGUGGCUUACCAAGGCUUUGACGGGUAGCCGGCCUGAGAGGGUGACCGGCCACAUUGGGACUGAGAUACGGCCCAGACUCCUACGGGAGGCAGCAGUGGGGAAUAUUGCACAAUGGGCGGAAGCCUGAUGCAGCAACGCCGCGUGCGGGAUGACGGCCUUCGGGUUGUAAACCGCUUUCGCCUGUGACGAAGCGUGAGUGACGGUAAUGGGUAAAGAAGCACCGGCUAACUACGUG
rnacentral:rRNA from 1 species